GAAAUGCGAUAAGUAAUGUGAAUUGCAGAAUUCAGUGAAUCAUCGAAUCUUUGAACGCACAUUGCGCCCGCCAGUAUUCUGGCUGGCAUGCCUGUUCGAGCGUCAUUUCAACCAUCAAGCCCCGCGCUUGUGUUGGGGACCUGCGGCUGCCGCAGGCCCUGAAAACCAGUGGCGGGCUCGCUGUCACACCGGGCGUAGUAGAUUUUAUCUCGCUCAGGGCGUGCUGCGGGUUCCGGCCGUUAAAAAGCCUUUUUUACCCAAGGUUGACCUCGGAUCAGGUAGGAAGACCCGCUGAACUUAAGC
rnacentral:misc_RNA from 1 species